rnacentral:rRNA from 1 species
UAGUCAACAUGCCCAGGGGACGUGGAUAACCUCGGGAAACUGAGGAUAAACCGCGAUAGGUCACUACUUCUGGAAUGGGUAAUGACCCAAACCUAUAUGGCCCCUGGAUUGGACUGCGGCCGAUCAGGCUGUUGGUGAGGUAAUGGCCCACCAAACCUGUAACCGGUACGGGCUCUGAGAGGAGGAGCCCGGAGAUGGGCACUGAGACAAGGGCCCAGGCCCUAUGGGGCGCAGCAGGCGCGAAACCUCUGCAAUAGGCGAAAGCUUGACAGGGUUACUCUGAGUGAUUUCCGUUAAGGAGAUCUUUUGGCACCUCUAAAAAUGGUGCAGAAUAAGGGGUGGGCAAGUCUGGUGUCAGCCGCCGCGGUAAUACCAGCACCCCGAGUGGUCGGGACGUUUAUUGGGCCUAAAGCAUCCGUAGCCGGUCCUACAAGUCUUCCGUUAAAUCCACCUGCUCAACAGAUGGGCUGCGGAAGAUACUAUGGAGCUAGGAGGCGGGAGAGGCAAGCGGUACUCGAUGGGUAGGGGUAAAAUCCGUUGAUCCAUUGAAGACCACCAGUGGCGAAGGCGGCUUGCCAGAACGCGCUCGACGGUGAGGGAUGAAAGCUGGGGGAGCAAACCGGAUUAGAUACCCGGGUAGUCCCAGCUGUAAACGAUGCAGACUCGGUGAUGAGUUGGCUUUAUGCCAACUCAGUGCCGCAGGGAAGCCGUUAAGUUUGCCGCCUGGGGAGUACGGUCGCAAGACUGAAACUUAAAGG